rnacentral:misc_RNA from 1 species
GAAACCACUUGAAGUAUCGGAUGUUGAGGAGAUUCGGGUUGACGUUGAUUCCAAUAUGGAAGAUUUGGAUACAAGGCCUCGUCUCUUGACCGAUUUGCCACCCGAGGCGUUGAAGUACAUCCAGCAGUUGCAGUCAGAAUUAUCAGAUCUUAAGGAUGAACUUAAUGCUCGGAAGCAAGAAAAUAUGCAGAUAGAACAUGGCAGAGGAAACAGAAACGAUUUGUUAGACUAUCUGCGGUCUUUGGAUUCUAAUAUGGUCACUGAACUCUGCAAACCAUCUACGUCGGAGGUGGAGGAAAUCAUUCACGAGCUUGUUG